GACAGAGGGUGCAAACGUUGCUCGGAAUCACUGGGCGUAAAGGGCGUGUAGGCGGGAAGGAAAGUCAGAUGUGAAAUCCCUGGGCUCAACCCAGGAACCUGCAUUUGAAACUCCCUUUCUUGAGUGUCGGAGAGGAAAGUGGAAUUCCUGGUGUAGAGGUGAAAUUCGUAGAUAUCAGGAGGAACACCGGUGGCGAAGGCGGCUUUCU
rnacentral:rRNA from 1 species